GAUGAACGCUGGCGGCGUGCCUAAUACAUGCAAGUCGAGCGAACAGAUGAGGAGCUUGCUCCUCUGACGUUAGCGGCGGACGGGUGAGUAACACGUGGAUAACCUACCUAUAAGACUGGGAUAACUUCGGGAAACCGGAGCUAAUACCGGAUAAUAUAUUGAACCGCAUGGUUCAAUAGUGAAAGACGGUUUUGCUGUCACUUAUAGAUAGAUCCGCGCCGCAUUAGCUAGUUGGUAAGGUAACGGCUUACCAAGGCAACGAUGCGUAGCCGACCUGAGAGGGUGAUCGGCCACACUGGAACUGAGGCACGGUCCAGACUCCUACGGGAGGCAGCAGUAGGGAAUCUUCCGCAAUGGGCGAAAGCCUGACGGAGCAACGCCGCGUGAGUGAUGAAGGUCUUCGGAUCGUAAAACUCUGUUAUUAGGGAAGAACAAAUGUGUAAGUAACUAUGCACGUCUUGACGGUACCUAAUCAGAAAGCCACGGCUAACUACGUG
rnacentral:rRNA from 1 species